rnacentral:rRNA from 1 species
UUGGCUUUCGAGUGUAGGGUUCUAGCGAGCCCAACCUCCCACCCGUGUUUACUGUACCUUAGUUGCUUCGGCGGGCCCGCCAUUCAUGGCCGCCGGGGGCUCUCAGCCCCGGGCCCGCGCCCGCCGGAGACACCACGAACUCUGUCUGAUCUAGUGAAGUCUGAGUUGAUUGUAUCGCAAUCAGUUAAAACUUUCAACAAUGGAUCUCUUGGUUCCGGCAUCGAUGAAGAACGCAGCGAAAUGCGAUAACUAGUGUGAAUUGCAGAAUUCCGUGAAUCAUCGAGUCUUUGAACGCACAUUGCGCCCCCUGGUAUUCCGGGGGGCAUGCCUGUCCGAGCGUCAUUGCUGCCCAUCAAGCACGGCUUGUGUGUUGGGUCGUCGUCCCCUCUCCGGGGGGGACGGGCCCCAAAGGCAGCGGCGGCACCGCGUCCGAUCCUCGAGCGUAUGGGGCUUUGUCACCCGCUCUGUAGGCCCGGCCGGCGCUUGCCGAACGCAAAUCAAUCUUUUUCCAGGUUGACCUCGGAUCAGGUAGGGAUACCCGCUGAACUUAAGCAUAUCAAAG